rnacentral:rRNA from 1 species
UACGUAGGGAGCAAGCGUUGUCCGGAAUUACUGGGCGUAAAGGGCGCGUAGGUGGGCGCUUAAGUCAGGUGUGAAAACUCCGGGCUCAACCUGGAGACUGCACUUGAAACUGGGUGUCUUGAGGGCAGGAGAGGAAAGUGGAAUUCCUAGUGUAGCGGUGAAAUGCGUAGAUAUUAGGAGGAACACCAGUGGCGAAGGCGACUUUCUGGACUGUACCUGACGCUGAGGCGCGAAAGCGUGGGUAGCGAACAGG